AAGGCCUUAAGUUAAAUAUAAACUAAUAUCCUUCAAAGCUAUAAAUAAAGGGUUGCCUUUAGGCCUUG
rnacentral:tRNA from 2 species